GAUGAACGCUGGCGGCGUGCCUAAUACAUGCAAGUCGAGCGAACGGACGAGAAGCUUGCUUCUCUGAUGCUAGCGGCGGACGGGUGAGUAACACGUGGAUAACCUACCUAUAAGACUGGGAUAACUUCGGGAAACCGGAGCUAAUACCGGAUGAUAUUUUGAACCGCAUGGUUCAAAAGUGAAAGACGGUCUUGCUGUCACUUAUAGAUGGAUCCGCGCUGCAUUAGCUAGUUGGUAAGGUAACGGCUUACCAAGGCAACGAUGCAUAGCCGACCUGAGAGGGUGAUCGGCCACACUGGAACUGAGACACGGUCCAGACCCCUACGGGAGGCAGCAGUAGGGAAUCUUCCGCAAUGGGCGAAAGCCUGACGGAGCAACGCCGCGUGAGUGAUGAAGGUCUUCGGAUCGUAAAACUCUGUUAUUAGGGAAGAACAUAUGUGUAAGUAACUGUGCACAUCUUGACGGUACCUAAUCAGAAAGCCACGGCUAACUACGUG
rnacentral:rRNA from 1 species